rnacentral:piRNA from 1 species
UUGGUGGAGCAAAUUUAAUUC